GCCGUAUCGUCCGCCAUCUUGGAUAACAAAAAUCAUUGCAAAUACCCCCCCCCCCCCGGGUCACAAGCAAUGUUAUCAGGCUGCUUCAUUCCUGUGCAGGACGGUAGGGGCGACCAGUUUUACCCAAAUCGCAUUUCUAUAAUUCUGAACAGAGAAUUUACUGAUGCAUUAGGACUGGUAGAUAUAAAUUAAGUUUUAGAUGCAUUGCAAGAUCAACA